GACGAACGCUGGCGGCGCGCCUAACACAUGCAAGUCGAACGAGCGAGAGAGAGCUUGCUUUCUCAAGCGAGUGGCGAACGGGUGAGUAACGCGUGAGGAACCUGCCUCAAAGAGGGGGACAACAGUUGGAAACGACUGCUAAUACCGCAUAAGCCCACAGGUCGGCAUCGACCAGAGGGAAAAGGAGCAAUCCGCUUUGAGAUGGCCUCGCGUCCGAUUAGCUAGUUGGUGAGGUAACGGCCCACCAAGGCAACGAUCGGUAGCCGGACUGAGAGGUUGAACGGCCACAUUGGGACUGAGACACGGCCCAGACUCCUACGGGAGGCAGCAGUGGUGAAUAUUGCACAAUGGGGGAAACCCUGAUGCAGCGACGCCGCGUGGAGGAAGAAGGUCUUCGGAUUGUAAACUCCUGUUGUUGAGGAAGAUAAUGACGGUACUCAACAAGGAAGUGACGGCUAACUACGUG
rnacentral:rRNA from 1 species